CAAGAAGUAGUUUAUUAAAAAAUUUAAGCUUUGGGAGUUUAAGAUAAAAUUUUUUUUUCUUGA
rnacentral:tRNA from 1 species